rnacentral:lncRNA from 1 species
CUUUAACGUUAUAGGCCUUAAAGAGAAUGAAUUGCAAAUUCUUAGUGAAGGAAGGUGGAAGUGCUAAAAGCCACAAUUAUAAUCCUCCUGAUCUGAGAUGGAAACACUGUCUCCCAACUGAAAAGGAAUUCUUUAAGCAAAAUGACAAAAUAGUUUUUGAAAGAAGAAUCUAAUUAAAGAAAAACAAUUUGCUCAGUGCUACAUGGAUAGUUGUACUAGAAAUACAUGUGUAAGUUCUUAAUCUUUGUUUCUAUAUUCAUGAAGACAUUUAGUGAAGCUUAAACCUAGUUUUCAAAGAUAAAUAAAAUGAAUAGUGCAAUGGUAAAAUGUAUGCCAUUGCCUAAAGGAAUCCGAAGAGCUCUAUGUGGGGGGUGUAAUUGCCAAUGUUUUCUGACCCUUCAUUGUACAUUUUUCUAUAAUACUUUGAUUUUGACAGAUAAGUUUUCUUUUUUAUUUUGUGACACUCCUCAAAAUGUCCUCUGUCUUUAUAUUCUUUUAAUGUCAUCUUCAAAAAGCCCCAGGAAAGUUAGAAUUUUAUAGUACAAGUGACUCACCUAGUAUCUCACUGUAAAACUGAUUCCAUCUCUUCUCACUAAAUGAUUCAAACCAAAAAUCAAAAUAAAGUAUGAAUAGCAUAUUUUUUACCCAAUCAAUGAAUGUCAUUUGAUCACUUAAUCCUGAAAAUAUAACAGGCACAUAGGAAGGAGGAAAGAGAAGUCCCCUACUAUAUUUUUCCAAUGUGUAAACUGGAGAGAAGCGGAGAGUGUACACAAUGGUUUGUGAAGAAUUUCAGCUAGCAGCUCACCACAGGGACAAAUGGCAUCUGAAAGAAUGACAUCAAACUUUGAUUCUUAUAAUUUUUCCAUAAGUUUCUUGUUCAAAACUGCAUCUCUCUCUAUAUUCUCUACAUAAUCAGAAAAUUGACUCAUAACUUCUUGAGAUAUUGAGUAAUGUUUCCAAAAUGUCACUUUUGGCAUCUCAUAAACCAUUACACUGAUUGAUAUAGUAUUAAGAUUUUGUAAAUUUUCUCUUGACAAUGAUGCUGGAUAGCUCUCAAAUUUAAUUGCAGGUGCUUUGUCACCAUCCACAAAAACGAAACUUGAAGGUCUCAAAACAGUCACCUCAGGCCCCCUCUGUGUGAGCUCCUCCAGUAUUGUCAUUAUAUUGAUCCAAUAGCUGUAUUCCAUUGCCCACACUAGCACCUUUCCACAACUUCCAGAACCAAAGUGACUACUCAGCUAUAGCAGCAGCAGAACCGCAGUCAUUUUCAUAGACAUCCUGGUGAAAUGCAAGGCUUCCUUUCACAUUUAAUUCCUUCUGCUCUUGGUAAUAUCAAGAAAAAAUAAUUAGUUGGUUAAAAUGAAACUUGUAUACAUCAAAGUAAAUACAUGAGUGACAUUUGGGAAUAUCUGGAUGCCAAGUAGAGAAAUUAAAGGUUAGGUAUCUUCAUGUUUGGGUAUGUGUAAUGAUUUUUUCAUGAUUAUAAAUUCUUUCCUGAAGUUAUGAAUUGAUGAUACUGUAUUUGCAAUAUACCUAUCUUAUGUUAAAGAGUUUUAGAAUAGUGUGAAGAAUUGUUGCAAGUGAGGCAACUUGUUUCUUUAAAUUGCUUUGCUGGAACUAAA